CCUAUUCAACUAUGUAAUUUGAUGUAAAUGUUAAUUUACCGAUUUCGAAAUUGAUUUCACGAUUUUUUUUUUAUUUCAAAAACCUAAUUAUGUCUAUUCUGUGGCAGGUCUUAGCAUUUCUCAGCUUAUUCUAAAUACAAGGAUGUGACAGAUCUACAGAUUGGUGUUAAGGCAGAGAUAUAAAGCUUCGAUCCCCCCAGGUCACAUGGUACAAGGUUUAUAAAAUGUACACAAACAGCUUGCGGCCGCGGAACACGGGCAUAGAUUUAUAUGCACACGGCACAAUUUGUGGCCGGUGGAUUGUUGCCAUCUUAAAACAAAAAAAAUUCAUUACACAUCCUCCAAAAACAAAGUCUGGUUCAAGCCGAAUUUUCCAUGCAUUAUGUUAUAGUUUGGCACUGACAACAUCAGUUGUGCAUUGUUGCUCGGUUUCUCUUGAGAGGAAUAGCAAAAUGAGAGGAAGUGCUCCUGAAAGACUGGUAUUGGGGUCUGAUGAUAUCACCAUGUUCCUUUGGGAAACUAUUGUCAAUGCACUCUCUUUUUAGCCUUCUCCCACUAUGUUCGUGAUGCAAUCUGCUGGUUCAAGGUUCAUUGCUUGUUCCCCUAGGUAUGGCUAUUAUACAUUAUACUCAAUUAUCAACGUAAUAUAGUUGAAGUAGCAUAUCAAGAGGUUGUUGGUUUGAAAAGGAUGAAGAGCUCGUUCGUUAGGAAGAGGAGAGUUAGCAAGCUGAGAGUGAGCAAAAAGUAAAUAGUGGAGCUGCUGACAAGGAAAAACGCGCUAAGGAAAACAGAUGUGUGUCAUAUUGGUGGACCAGUGUAAUUCUGAUGAUAAAAUAUGUGUGGAUAUGAAUGACCAAUUUCAUACAUUUGUUUGUAGAUGUGUACAAAGUGGUGCACAUGUAAAAAAAUGAUUGUAAAAUUCGUGCAUGUAUAUUUUUUGUACACGUCAAAUAAUGA